GGGGGGGAGAAAGGCUUUUCUGUUUUGGUGCUUUCUCAUAAAAGCCUGACACAUUUGCCUUCCCUUUCAGGGAAUUGAUUUGAGCUUGUUUAAAAAUGAAGCUUGCAGCACGGCGUAGCGGCUUCAUGGGGCUGUAUAAAAACUGAUCUGAUAAUAUUUUAUUCAUCCUUCUCUCCCCUUCCUUUUGCUCUGGAAAUUCCAGGAGCUACUGGCAGUCUCUGCAGGCAGCUCGGGGAGAGGAGCAAGAAUCCCCUUUUAGAAAGCAAUUACACAUGCAAGUCACAUCAGUUCAAGCCAAACUGUGAGCCAGAUCCUGUAGCUGAUAAAACAGCUCUGCAAUACUCCAGGAGGGAGAAAGAUAAUACCGGAUUUCUAGGCCAGCUCCUUGGCGGAUGUGAAUGGGUAUCAGAAUGGUGAAGAAAGUGCAGUGGCUCCAAUUUUCACCAGAGGAGGAUCCGGCCUGUUUAAUCUGUUUGGAACUACCACUCAACUUCAAAGUGUAAUGGAACCACACAGCUGUGUUUGCAGAGUCCCUGAGCUGGGUCCAGGCACUCUUUGGGGCACGGAUUACAGAGCUGCUGGAGGACUAGCUGGCUUCAGCACAGAGCCUGAGGGGUGAGAAAUCUCUGUAGUGCAUUGUGGGAGCUGGAGCAAAUUGUGACCCAAAGGGUUUCUGCUGUGCAAACCCCAAUGCGUUUUCACUCUUCCUCCCAAUCCCCCUCUCCUUUCCUGUAUAUUCCCACAGUGCAAUCCAUACUCCAUCAGAUCUAAUCUGUAUCCCGUGUGUCCCGGAGGGGUUCUCUGCUCUGCCAUGAUGGCUCAUGUAAGUAUCCCUGUCGCUGGGCUCCACAUCCUGGUGUGGUCUCCCUAUGGCCACCUCUAUUGUGGCUAUGCAGGGAAGAACCCACCCCCGGCUGCCUUAGAUCGCCUUUGACUGUGGCUCUGGGUGCGGUGAGGGAGAAGCACAAAUCGGUGGGGAAG
rnacentral:lncRNA from 1 species